rnacentral:rRNA from 1 species
CGGGCAGGUGGUCCGUUAAGUCGUCUGUGAAAAUCCGGGGCUCAACCCCGUGAAAUGCAGGCGAUACUGGCGGGCUAGAGAUCGGUAGAGGCUAGCGGAAUUCCUGUGUAGCGGUGGAAUGCGUAGAUAUCAGGAAGAACACCCGUGGCGAAGGCGGCUAGCUGGGCCGAGUCUGACACUCAUCCGCGAAAGCGUGGGGAGCAAACA